rnacentral:rRNA from 1 species
CCCUUAGAUGUUCUGGGCUGCACGCGUGCUACACUGAUAUUGCCAAUAUGUCAUUCUUAUCCGAAAUGGAUUGGGUAAUCAAGUAAUGAAAUUUCAUGCUUGGAAUCGGUAAUUGCAAUUUUAUCGUGAACGAGGAAUUCCUAGUAAGCACCAGUCAUCAGCUAAUGUUGAUUAUGUCCCUGCCCUUUGUACACACCGCCCGUCGCUACUACUGAUUGGGUGUUCAAGUGAGAUGCUUAGACCCUUGUUGCAUGGUUCAUUAUUGUGCUCCGAAAGGAAAAAGUUUCAAGCUUGAGUGUCUAGAGGAAGUAAAAGUCGUAACA